UGACAAAUGACUUUGUGAAGGGAUAAGAGAAAGAGCUUCCACAGUGACAUUUAAAUUGGAACCCAUGUUUGAUGGCAUGCAGAUGAUUUAAAUACAUGUCACCAAUGCACAGCUAUAGAGGAGGAGGUUUGAAUUAAAUUCCACCACUGACAUUUGGGAACAUUUGGAUCCUACCCGGCUGUGAUGGCUUGUGCCCCACUUGAUUUACUGGUGAAGCAGAGGUUCUUAAGGGGUGUGUGUGUGUGUUAAUGCUAUUAUUCAUUAGCAGCAGAGCC